GGGCCUGUAGGAUAGCUUGGAUAGACUGAGGGGUUCCGGUCCCCUAGACCUGGGUUCGAAUCCCAGCAGGCCCG
rnacentral:tRNA from 1 species